rnacentral:sRNA from 1 species
CUUUCCAAGAGGAAUCCUCGGCAGAUAAACUGGACUGUCCUCUACAGAAGGAAGCACAAAAAGGGACAGUCGGAAGAAAUUCAAAAGAAAAGAACCCGCCGAGCAGUCAAAUUCCAGAGGGCCAUUACUGGUGCAUCUCUUGCUGAUAUAAUGGCCAAGAGGAAUCAGAAACCUGAAGUUAGAAAGGCUCAACGAGAACAAGCUAUCAGGUGAGGAAUGCUUUCAUUAUGAGCAUUUUACCUAUUCGGAUGGAUUUUAGGUUUGGGUCUUCAGUAAUUAAAGUUACCAUAUAGUCUAAUAUAUGUUAAGCUGAGUUGGUGGCUAAUGAAAAUUAUUGACAAAUUCUUUGGAUUUAGCCUACAAAUAAAUGGAGGUGGGGAAGGAAGGAAUAUGGUCAUUGUACUUGUCCAGUACAGUCUAACUCUAAUAAUAAGUUGUACCACUAAGGAGUAAAGUGCUUUUGCCUUAAGUUACUUUUACCCCACAGGGCUGCUAAGGAAGCAAAAAAGGCUAAGCAAGCAUCUAAAAAGACUGCAAUGGCUGCUGCUAAGGUAAUUAUGGGGUUUCUUUACUUUCUUGAACAAUACAACAGGAAAAUUUUCUUUUUUUGAGACGGAGUUUUGCUCUGUUGCCCAGGAUGGGGUGCAGUGGCGUGAUCUGAUCUCGGCUCACUGCAACCUCUGCCUCCCGGGUUCAAGUGAUACUCCUGCCUCAGCCUCCCGAGUAGCUGGGAGUACAGGUGCGCGCCAUCACGCCCGGCUAAUUUUUGUAUUUUUUUUUUUUUUUCUUAAGUAGAGACAGGGUUUCACCAUGUCGGACAGGCUGGUCUUGAACUCUUGACCUCAGGUGAUCUGCCCACCUCAGCCUCCCAAAGUGCUGGGAUUACAAGUGUGAGCCACUGAGCCCGGCUGGAAAAUUAAUUUUCAGUCUAAAUUGUGAUAAAUGAAAGUUUCACAGUUUUAAGGUAUUGAAUGCAAGGCUCAAUUGGAAAUGAUAUUUGUAGCCAAUUACUUGGCCAAUGGUUCAGGUCUCCAGAGAGGUGGUCCUCUCCAUAAGCCAAAUCAUGUGUUACUGUUAGGAACUGGGAAAAAUAAAGGUUGGCUUUUUUUUUUGUUUUUUGUUUUUUCCCCCUUCAACACAGGGCCUCACUCUGUAGCCCAGCUGGAGUGCAGUGGCACAAUCACGGCUUGCUGCAGCCUCAACCUCCUGGGCUCAAGUGAUCCUCCUGACUCAGGCCCCUAAGUAGCUGGGACUACAGGCAAGCACUACCACACCCAGCUAAUAGGUAUUUUAGUUGAGAUGGUUUCGCCAUGUUGCCCAGGCUGGCCUCAAACUCCUGAGCUCAAGCGAUCCACCUGCUUUAGCGCCCCGAAGUGUUGGGAUGAGCCCCUGCACCAUGCCUGGUUUUGAAAGUUAUUAUGGUUAUCUACAUUGAUAACAUUGAGAAAAGCUGAGUAAACACUGUACUGUUACUGAGAUCUUUUCUGUGAGUUUCUGUCAGGAUGCAUUUCAGGAUCCUACACUGCACUUGGUUGUGUCUCAUUUCCUCCAGUCUGUGAUGGUAUCUUAGUCUUUGUCUUUCAUUGUAAAGAUGGGCUUUAAAUAUUUAAGGGUAGUCACAUUAAAAGAUUGGCAUUAGGAAUGCAGUUAAAUUACUAAGAAAGUGAUCUAAGCUACAUAAACAAUCUGGAUGUGAGAGAUGGGUAAUAAUAGGGUAACAAAAGUUUUGUGGAGUAAUAUCAUGUUAUCUUUUUACAGGCACCUACAAAGGCAGCACCUAAGCAAAAGAUUGUGAAGCCUGUGAAAGUUUCAGCUCCCCGAGUUGGUGGAAAACGCUAAACUGGCAGAUUA